CCCAUUCCAUAAACCUGGAAGGACCUGAGGCCACAGAUCAGCACUUGAGUCCUUCCACAGCCCAGGAAGGACCUGGGGACAUGGGAACCACCCCUGACACCCCCAUUCCAUAGACCUGGACCUGAGCACAUGGAUCAGCACUGACAGCCCCGUUCCUUGACCCUGGAAGGACCUGGGGACAUGGAACACCACUGACACCUUGAUUCCAUAGACCUGAAAGGACCCAAGGCCAUGGAUCAGCACUGACACCCCAAUUCCCUGACCCUGGCAGGACCCAAGGCCAUGGAUCAGCACUGACACCCCCAUUCCACAAUCCUGGCAGGACCCAAGGCCUCGGAUCAGCUCUCAUUGAACCCGGGCUGCAGCUCCCAGGGCCUGGAAUCACAUCCCAGCCCUCCCAAAGGUCAGGGACAGCAGGAAAACCAAACCCAGCCCAGCCCAGCUCUGCCCAGACGGAUGGGGAGGGAAACUGAGCGAGGAACAGGCUCCUGGGGUGAAAAUUGAGCAAAGAAUGGAAUUCUGGGGAGGAAAACCGAGUGAGGAACUGAAUUUUGGGGAGGAAAACUGAAUGAGAAACUGAAUUUCAGGGAAGAAAACUGAGAGAGGAAGGGAAUUCUAUGGAAGAAAACUGAGUGAGGAAGGGAAUUCUGGGGAAGAAAACUGAGUGAGAAAAGGAAUUCUGGGGAAGAAAACUGAGGGAGGAAGGGAAUUCUGUGGAAGAAAACUGAGUGAGAAAAAGAAUUCUGGGGAAGAAAACUGAGUGAGAAAAAGAAUUCUGUGGAAGAAAACUGAGGGAGGAAGGGAAUUCUGGGGAAGAAAACUGAGGGAGGAAGGGAAUUCUGGGGAAGAAAACUGAGUGAGAAAAGGAAUUCUGGGGAAGAAAACUGAGGGAGGAAGGGAGUUCUGGGGAAGAGCACUGAGGAGGGAGGAGCAGGCUCCUGGGGAGGAACACCAGGGAGGAGGAGCAGGCUCCUGGCCGGGCUCCAGCCCAGCAACCCAACACCUGCUCCACACCUGGGCCAG
rnacentral:lncRNA from 1 species